AGUAAUAAUAUUGUUACUAUGGUAACCCUAUUAUAAUAAAAUGCUUAUAUCAGUGCAGCGUUGAUUAGAUUACUAUCAGAGUGAAUGCCCUGAUAAUGAUAAAUAUCAGUAGUAAUACCUUGAAAAUAAGAUCAAAUGUAUUGGAAAUCAACACUGUCGAUGCAUCUAUACUUCUUUUCCAAUAAUUCACCUUUGGUUAAAGGUAAAAAUGUGCAAAUUAUGCCUGAAAUUGUACUGGAUCCAAUGGAUCAAGUGCUAAACCUUCUAUUUCACGCCAAUAAAGCACUUUGUUGUUAUAUUGUUAUUACUGAGCUGUAAUGUAACUAGAGUUUGAGUGAUAUAUGGUGUAAACACUAAAUAUCUGUUUUCCACAUCUGAUGGACUUUAAAAAA